rnacentral:rRNA from 1 species
UACAGAGGUCCCAAGCGUUGUUCGGAUUCACUGGGCGUAAAGAGUGCGUAGGCGGCGCGGUAAGUCGGGUGUGAAAUCUCGGGGCUUAACUCCGAAACUGCAUUCGAUACUGCCGUGCUUGAGGACUGGAGAGGAGACUGGAAUUUACGGUGUAGCGGUGAAAUGCGUAGAUAUCGUAAGGAAGACCAGUGGCGAAGGCGGGUCUCUGGACAGUUCCUGACGCUGAGGCACGAAGGCCAGGGGAGCAAACGGG